ACCGAGAUUUUAUUCCCGCGCAACCUUUCGAGGAACUAAGAGAAGAGUCAAAUCUAUCAAAUUCUAAGGUGGUGAGGACUAAUGAGGUGCCACGUGCCCCAGAGGCCAGCAAAAAUCCAUGUGAAUUCCUUAAAUAUCCUUUUUCUGUAGGGUGCACAUGCGGAAGGAUCAUUAAUGAAUUCACUAUGGAGUUGUUGCUGGCCUCUAGGGGCAUGUGCACGCUUCACUAGUCUUUCAACCACCUGUGAACUUKUGAUAGAUCUGUGAAGUCGUCUCUCAAGUCGUCAGACUUGGUUGGCGGGAAUUUAAACUCUUCGGGKGAACACCCCGUUYUUUUUCUUWCACACCCCCCAUAUGUAUCUMCRAAAGUCUCUUUAAGGGCGCCGUGCCCCUAAACCCCAAAACAAAAUUYUACAACAGAGAUCUUGGGGCUCGCACCGCURAAAAAAACGCAGAGAAGAGAGAUAAAUAGUUGAAAWGCAGAAAUCACUGAAUCUUCGCAUCUUUGAAAACACCCCGCGCCCCCCGGUAUUCUSAGGGGGGCGCCCGUGUGAGAGUCUCUAAAAUUUCWMACACACACUGGGGUUUUUCCAAUUGUGAUGUUUGGAUUGUUGGGGGCUGCUGGCCUUGACAGGUCGGCUCCUCUUAAAUGCAUUAGCAGGACUUCUCAUUGCCUCUGCGCAUGAUGUGAUAAUUAUCACUCAUCAAUAGCACGCAAGAAUAGAGUCCAGCUCUCUUAUCGUCCGCAAGGACAAUUGACAAUUUGACCUCAAAUCAGGUGGGACUACCCGCUGAACUUAAGCAUAUAAUAAGCGGGAGGAAGGAAUCUUUAUGAAACUCCAAUGUAUUUUUGCAGCCUCAGGGCCGGUGCACGCUCCAUUAGUCCUCCACCACCGGGUGAACU
rnacentral:rRNA from 1 species